rnacentral:pre_miRNA from 1 species
UGGCUAGCAAUGCGCAUAACAUCUCGAACCGUUUUCAAUGAUAUUAUGCUCAAUUACUAGCUAUU